GUGAGGAAUAUUGCGCAAUGGAGGCAACUCUGACGCAGCCAUGCCGCGUGCAGGAAGAAGGCGCUACGCGUUGUAAACUGCUUUUAACCGGGAAGAAACCCCAGGACGUGUCCUGGGUUGACGGUACCGGAGGAAUAAGCACCGGCUAACUUCGUGCCAGCAGCCGCGGUAAUACGAAGGGUGCAAGCGUUAUCCGGAUUCAUUGGGUUUAAAGGGUGCGUAGGCGGAGCGUUAAGUCAGUGGUGAAAUCCUGCAGCUUAACUGUAGACUUGCCAUUGAUACUGGCGCUCUUGAGUGCGCUUGAAGUGGGCGGAAUGUGCCGUGUAGCGGUGAAAUGCUUAGAUAUGCUACGGAACACCGAUUGCGAAGGCAGCUUACUAUUUCAUGAUUGACGCUGAGGCACGAAAGCGUGGGUAGCGAACAGGAUUAGAAACCCGGGUAGUCC
rnacentral:rRNA from 1 species